rnacentral:lncRNA from 10 species
GACAGCCCGGCAGCCAGGCUGGGUAAUGAUUACAGUCAGCACAGCCCCCUGAGGACCUUAAAUGACAGCUUGAGUCUAGGCUUCCUGUGAUCUCCGUGCACAGUAUCUGGAAGGGUUAGGGGAGAGCAUCUUCCCCCAGUACCGAACCAGGUUCCAACUCACCCAGGAGGAAAGAGAUGGGAAGAAAGCCACAUGGGUGGAGAAGCAGCGGGGAGAGAGACCAACUUUAGAAAGCCUAGAAGAGGACUCAUGCAGCACAAAGAGACCACACUGCAACCACAGGGGCGAAGAAGUCAGGAAAUGCUGCCGCAGCAGCCAGCCCAGUGGCGAGACCGCAAGCCAGUGGCUCAAACUGGGAUGGAGGGGGCGGAGGUUUAAAUUUAGCCAGGUAAACAGAGCCGGGCCAGGGGUGGAGAGGGCCUGGUAGGGGCUGUGCAGUCACCUGCUCUCCAGAGUUGGGGCAUUUCUCGCUGAAGGGAACAGUCCAGCCAGAACUGUACCAAACAGCGGAUCCGUUUUCAGGGUUCCUCCAGCAUGCUGCUUGGGGGAGCACACAGGCUGCGCCCCAGAGAUGGACAGAAGGUUAGUUUUACUUUAAAGGGUGGCUCAGAUUUAAAAUGAGCAUGUCUUUUCAUCUUGAUGGCAAUAUCGAUGCACAAUCCCUCUGCUGGAUGUUUCUGGACUCGUAGAUAACGGUGAAGACGCUCAACAGAAACCAGCCAAGGCUGCCCGUAAGUGGAGCUCCCACAUGCUCUCAUUGCCCAGAGGGCUUUUACAUCUACUGCUGUUGUGUGUCUUCAGAGACCUGAUGGAGUUACCCAACAACCAGUAACUACCACCACGACCACACACUCUGAGGACUGCAUCCAGGACUAGCGCUGGAGCAAAGAUGGGCUCUGAAGACCUGGUUAGAAGAUGAAGGAGAUAAAUGGCAGGCGGUUUGAAAAGGAGCCAGAGAGAAAAAGCUCUCGCUGACACGAGAGCUUUUUUGGACUGACUGGUUUCUAUUUCAGAGAAGACAAGGACUAUCACCACACGUAAAAACUUCCCUCCAUGCUAGAGAAGCCAGGCUGCGGCAAUCCAGAAAGCAGCAGAACCAUCCUAGAAUUAAAAAUUAGAACAGACCAGCCUAGUCCUCUGCCUUUCUUGACCUUGAAGAAGAGCAAACAAAAAAUCUUUCAGCUGCCCCUAGAGUCAGAGGGUGAAAUACACAAGGGAAGAAGAAUUCCAGAUUUUUUCUUUUCGCAGCAUAUGGCUCCCAGCAAUUUUGGCAAUAUCCCUUUAACUUAUGCUUUUUGGACAGAAAAAAUUUUAGAAAAGGGUAGUUUCAAGUCAAUAAGAAACCCCUGGUGAUAUUACAAUCACCAAAUGAACUAAAGAGGGGACCGGUUUCAGAUACCUUGGAGAAACACACAGACACACACGCUCAAUCACCUAUUCAUAUUCAAAUACAUAAGAUAUCAGAGCCUGGGAAAGUAUGAAAUCCAUGGGUGGAAAAAGACCAGCCAGCUCCUCCGAGCCUGGCUCCUGCUCCCCUGGCAGGCAGAUCCCACAGAGUGUCACACGCCCUUGGCCUGACUGUCUUUAAGAAGAGAAAGAAAGGGAAGGGGAGAUGUCUCUCCUGACUGCCUUUGGGUAUUGACCCAUCCAUUGUCACUUUAGGUUCCUUUACUCCCUUCACGUCCUGCCCUGUUGUCCGCGCCACCUGCAUCUGUUAGUAAAAAGCCCUGGUUUUAAUUGUGACCCUUCCCUUGGACUGCUGGACUUGUCAUCACCAUGAAGACGCCAGCUCCAUCACUCCUCUCACAAGGGUGCCUAAGAGGUCUCUUUCAGCACUGCCAUCCUUCCAAGGAGACACACCUCCUCCUUCUUGCUAUUUAUAACCACGAAUCUUGUGUGUCAAAGCGAGAACAGACACUAUUUUGAGAUGGAGGAAAACCACCCCUCAGUCUUCCACCUCUAAUAGGUCGGUGUGUUUGCCAGGACCUGUGUGUGUGAGCCUAGGCAGGGGUGCGGCUGCAAGCUCCAGGUCUGGCAUCCGCUCGUCUGUGCCUGAGAUGGGGAGUCUUGCCUUUGCGGCCGGGCAGGCUCCCCGCAAACCGAACUGCCUCUCCCAGCGGUCUGCAGCAAAUACCCGGGGGUUCGGCUCCGACUGGAGCGCGGGCUACGCGUCCACCGAGGCUCCAAGAAAGUGAAGGAGGAGGUCUCGUCCCGCCUCUCCCACGGCGGGGACGUGGAGCGCCGGAGCGACCGGAGAAGCACAAAGCCGAGCGGCGCUCGGGCUCUACCUGCGCGGUCCGGGCAGAAACGCAGGCUCCCACCCGCGUCCGGCGGGUAAAGUAACCCAGAUGGGGUCCUCGAUGCCGGCGCAGACCUCGGCGGAGGGUCGGGGCUGGGCCCGACCAGACCCGGGAGAGUGAGCGCGAAGCUCAGAGGCCGCCCCGCCUGCGCCGCCGACCCCGGAGCCUCCUAUGCCUGCCCGCGCGAGGGCCCGGCGGUCCCCAGCUUUGUUCGCCGCCCCGGCCCGGGGCGACUCCCUUCCCCCGACCUGACCCCGGCCCGCCCCGACCCGACGCCCGCGGCGCGCAGACCCACCCGGCG